rnacentral:rRNA from 1 species
UACAGAGGUGGCGAGCGUUGUUCGGAUUUACUGGGCGUAAAGGGCGCGUAGGCGGCCGGAUGUGUCGGAUGUGAAAUCUCCGGGCUCAACCCGGAAAGUGCGUUCGAAACUGUCCGGCUCGAGUGCGGAAGGGGAGUGCGGAAUGCAGGGUGUAGCGGUGAAAUGCGUUGAUAUCCUGCAGAACACCGGUGGCGAAGGCGGCACUCUGGGACGCAACUGACGCUGAGGCGCGAAAGCGUGGGGAGCAAAC